GGAGGGUGCAAGCGUUGUUCGGAAUUAUUGGGCGUAAAGGGCGCGUAGGCGGCCUGCUAAGUCCGGUGUGAAAGCCCUCGGCUCACCCGGGGAACGGCGCCGGAUACUGGCAGGCUAGAGUACCGGAGAGGAGGGUGGAAUUCCUGGUGUAGCGGUGAAAUGCGUAGAUAUCAGGAGGAACAUCGGCGGCGAAGGCGGCCCUCUGGACGAGUACUGACGCUGAGGCGCGAAAGCGUGGGGAUCAAACAGGAUUAGAUACCCUGGUAGUCCACGCUGUAAACGAUGGGAACUAGGUGUGGGGGGUAUUGACCCCCUCCCGUGCCGCAGCUAACGCAUUAAGUUCCCCGCCUGGGGAUUACGGCCGCAAGGUUA
rnacentral:rRNA from 1 species